AUACUCGGGUUUCUCUUCAAAUCGUAUAAAUCUUUCGCCUUUUACUAAAGAUUUCCGUGGAGAGGAACAUUUAUGAGUUUCUAUUCAAUUUUUUGAGGCUUCACUUCGGUGAAGCU
ensembl:snRNA U5 U5 spliceosomal RNA